CUGGAGCUGAUAAAGAGGAAAGAGAUCAUAAAUACCAGAAUGAUUCUGAGGAACCACUACAGGAUCCCCUUCAUUGACUAGGAGGAAGAGUCACGGGAACACUUGGCUUGGAGAGCGACCAUGGAAACUACGAGUUCUCCCUGGGGUGAUCCAGAUGCCUUCCCCACCGUUGGAUCCCAGCACCUGCAGCUGAUGGAUGAGCCCCCCAUCGACAUAUGAGCCCCAGCAACCCUGGGAAUGGCACCAAGAGCUCAGAACCUCACCAGGUG